rnacentral:lncRNA from 1 species
ACUGGACUGGCAUUACUUGUAACUCUGCAGGUUCAGUCUCUGAGAUUAACCUUUAUGAGAAACAACUUGAUGGAAUGCUGUCCGAGUUUAGUUUCACUUCAUUUCCAAAUCUUAACAGUCUCACUCUCGCAUACAACUUCUUCUCGGGUCCAAUACCACCAGCCAUUGAGAAUUUAACACAGCUUCAAUAUCUUGAUUUAAGCAUCAAUAGUCUCGAUGGUCUCAUUCCGUUCCAGGUUAGCCAUCUUCAGAGGUUGCUCGUCUUAAACCUGUCACAGAAUGCAUUGCAAGCUCCAAAUUGGUCCCAAUUCUCUCCCAUGCCCUUUUUGUGCAGCCUCAACCUCAGUAGCAAUCCUCUUGCGUCGAAAUUCCCAAAUUUCAUAUCCAAUUCUCAUGGCCUGACUCACCUUAGCCUUGAUCAAAACGAGUUUACAGGUGAUUUAGCGCGUGAAUCAAUAUUUGCCAAUCUGCAUAAUCUUGAAGUCCUCAGUCUUGUUGGCAAUUCUUUUGAGGGGCCAUUUCUGCCAAAUAUAUUCAAGCUUUCCAAAUUAAAACGUCUCACCCUGUCAAGUAACAAAUUUUUAGGAUCAAUUCCCAAUGACAUAAGGUUGCUUUGUGAUCUUGAAUUCCUGUAUUUAGGAAACAAUUCUUUUGAAGGACCGCUUCCACCAAAUAUAUUCAAGCUUUCAAAAUUAAAACAUCUUGUUCUUUGGAGUAAUAAGUUUUCAGGUUCUGUUUCCAAUGAUAUAGGUUUGCUUUCUGCGCUUGAACUUUUGAAUCUUCACUCUAAUUUUUUUGAGGGGCCGCUUCCGCCAAAUGUAUUCAAGCUCUCUAAACUAAGGUUUCUUAACCUCUGGGGUAACAACUUUUCAGGUUCUGUUUCCAAUGAUAUAGGUUUGCUUCCGGAGCUAGAAAUCCUCAAUCUUCACUCUAAUUUUUUUGAGGGCCGCUUCCGCCAAAUAUAUUCAAGCUCUCUAAACUAAGGUUUCUUAACCUUUGGGGUAAUAACUUUUCAGGUUCUGUUUCCAAUGAUAUAGGUUUGCUUCCUGAGCUAGAAUUCCUCAAUCUUCACUCUAAUUUUUUUGAGGGUCCGCUUCCGCCAAAUGUAUUCAAGCUCUCUAAACUAAAGUUUCUUCAUCUUCGAGGUAAUAAGUUUUCAGGUUCUGUUUCCAAUGAUAUAGGUUUGCUUCCUGAGCUUGAAAUCCUCAAUCUUCGCUCUAAUUUUUUUGAGGGGCCGCUUCCGCCAAAUGUAUUCAAGCUCUCCAAACUAAGGUUUCUUUCCCUUAAGGAAAAUAAAUUUUCAGGUUCUGUUUCCAAUGAUAUAGGUUUCCUUUCUGAGCUUGAAUACCUAUAUCUUGACUAUAAUUUAUUUGAAGGAAGUAUUCCUAUUGGACUGGGACUCUUGACUAACCUCAGCUACUUAGAUCUAAGUUCCAAUAAUCUCAGUGGCUAUAUUCCAUCUGACAUUGGAAACCUGAAGCUACUAGUAUUUCUUGAUCUCAGUUCUAACCAAUUGACUGGACCGCUUUUAAAGAUCGUUUCUAAUCUCACAAAUCUUAUGAAUCUUGAUGUAAGUGAUAAUAGUCUUAGUGGAAAUAUUCAGAGUGACUUGUGGAAGAACUCUAUAUCCUUACGUUACAUUAAUUUUGCAAAUAAUUAUUUGUCUGGGAACAUUCCUAAGGAAUACAACGAUCAUCCAACUUUGGAAUACAUCAAUUUAAGUGGGAACCAUUUUACAGGUAUAUUUUUCUCUAUAUAUCUUUUCCUUUUCUCAUAUGUAACUAAGCUGGUAAUCUGAUUAUUGCAGUUUUACCAAAGUUUCAACAAUCUUGACAGGUGAGCUUCCAACAACAAUUUGCAAUGUCACUUCCCUUGCGGUUCUUGUUUUGUCAAAUAAUGGAUUAAGUGGAGCACUUCCAAAUUGUUUCGGGAAACUUGCUGAUAGAUUGCUUUCCAUUAAUCUUGCUAAUAAUCAGUUUCGAGGAACAAUACCAACUACUUUCUCCAGGAGUUGUCAGGUGAAAUAUCUAAACAUGGAUAAUAAUGAGUUUGAAGGAUUCUUGCCCCCAUCUUUGGCGAACUGUAAGCACUUGAAAAUUCUUGAUAUUGGCAAUAACAAAAUAGGUGGUCCAUUUCCGUCAUGGCUUUAUGUACUUGGAGAGAUAGAAGUCCUUGUCUUGCGAUUAAAUAAACUCUAUGGUACAAUAAGUGGAAGGAGCGUAAAAGAUCCCUUCCCCAAGUUGCGGAUUGUGGAUCAAUAGACAUCGGCUAAAAAGCGAUGUCUAUGUAAAAUCAGACCGAUGUCUUCGUGGGUGAUGAGAAAAGUAAGUGCAUUACACAUCGCUUUCUAGCCGAUGUCUAUAACCUAUUUACACAUCGUUUAAUAUGACAAUCUGAUGUAUUUUUUAACAGUAGAUACCUUCACUAUAAUUUCAGUUCCUCAUUCCUAUGCCCUCUAUAUCAUUUUAAACUUGUCACAUGCUUAAUAAAAUGAUACUUUAACAUCUUAAAACUUGUAAAAUAGAUGUAUAUGAUAACCUUUUACAUCAUGCUUUUAUAGGAAGUGAUGUGGUACCCUUCUUUUCUUUAAGAAAGCGAUGUCUUUGUUCUUGUUUUACAUCAGUGAUUUUUAUACUCUGAUAUCUAUUAUAUAGUUUAACAUCAGGCUUUUUCUUGUUAACUGAUAUGUAUUCAUUCUUAUGACAUCGCUUACUAAGUGAUGUAAAUGUUAGUUUUAAAUUGCCAUGAAUCCUCCUGUUUCUUAUGAAUCCCCCUGUUUCAUUUAAAUUUCCAACAAAUUCCAAAACAACACCAAAGCUAUACUAAUUAAACAACCAAUUACCAAUGUCUAGCCUACCAUAACAGAACUAAAACAAAACUAGCUAGCAAAACAAUACUUCCGCAAAAGCCAAAUAUAUUACCAUCAAUCAUUACCAAUCAAAUUACAUCCCACAAUCAAAGAAACUGCACAAAUCCUAAAUAUUAACCAAGCAACCAUAAUUUACAAGCAGUUCACCACGUACUCCAGCAACCAUAAUUUACCAACUACAUUUCCCUCCAUUUAUCAACAAAAUCUACUUAGCUAGCUAGUGUCACUGUCUUACAUAAACUGAACUAAUUAAAGGAAACCAAAGUUCUCCAAUAAACCAAAGGCCUGUUUAUAAGAAGGACUCGAUAUGGCUAAGUGUCUCAAACCGAACCUCGUCAAGCUCAGCCUUGGAACAAAUCACUUUUCGAUUCUUGGAUGCCCACUGAAAAAUGUAAAACAAUAACAUUGAAUUAUACCUAAAUUUAUAUGUACACCAUUUAAUUAUAUCAACAAUGGAUUAGGCAAAGAAAAAUACCCUUUUAAAAAAUGUCAUUUCAUUGUCCAUGACAAUCUCUUUCAUAUACCGCAUAAUAACAUAGCCGCAUUCAGUUCCACCGGGCUGUUUAGGACAUCCCUAUUUAACCAAAAAAAACUCAAAAUAGUAAGUAAAGUAAUGCCCCUGGUUCUAAGCAUCAGUAGCACAAAUUGUUAAAAAUAAAUACGAAAGCUUACUGUAAUAUAUUUGAAGCUUGGGGCUUUAUUUCCCCUUCCGGCCUGAACAUUGAAAGUAAUCACAGCCCUGUCAUCUUGGCAGUGUUAAUAAUGCACAUGCAUUUAUAUCUCCAUAAGAAAGAUAAUCAAUAAAAAAAUAAAUGAAAAUACCUUGAUAUUGCUUUUUCCAAGUUGGGGAAACUAGUUGAACGAGGCAGAGGAUUAAGUAUGAAAACCUCGCCACCCCAAAACAGAACCAAUACCCAAUGGAAACUAUUUUUAACAAAUAUUUAUGAAAAACACAAUUACUAUCAAAAUCAUAUAAAUUUUAUUUUCAGUCAUGUAAAAAACUAAAUAAAAGAGAUUUAUAAUAAAUAAGAAAACACUUAAGCUACUUACUUGCUAUUAUGCGGCAUCAAAAAGAGACGAUCAGGAUUACCCUCUUUAAAUCGAUUAACCAAGUUAUCUUCAAAAGAAUUGUUCAUCAAGUUCAGCGAGGCUCCAGGAUCACAAAAAGCAAAUUGAUCCUUAGUGCCAUUUUCACGAACCACGCAAUGCAAGUAUCUACAUUGUAAAUGAAAUGAAAUUAUAUAAAAUUACACGAAUAUGAAUUAUAACUAAACAACAGUCAUGAUCUAGAAGACAGUAAUUAAAAAAAGUUUACUCACGCCAUGUAUGCAGCAAUUGCUGCUUGGCCAAUCAUAUUAAACUCCAGCAAGGCGACUAUGUUUUCAUACAAGAUGAAGAUUCUUUUCUCGAUACCAAACACCUCAGCAUCACACGGGAUUUGAAUUGAGUCUCCGGAGGAUUGCAUAAAUGUUGUUGCAUGUUUAUACAACAACCGAAAGCGUUUUGGAACAUUUUUAUUGAUCUCCAUGUUAUGAAACAAGGACUGGACUUUAUCUAAAUCGGUUUUAGGUUCCUUUACUUUCCGUUUACCUUUCUGAAAAAUGAACAAAAUUAAUUUAAAACAAAAUAUAACAAAAUAUAGGGGUAACAUAUAAUAGUACAAUCCAGUACAACAAUUAUGUUAAAGUACACACCAUAGUAGGAAUAGUAGGAGGGGCAUUUGGGAAUAUGAUCAAGUCGCGGGGCCAUGAGACGUACGAGCCAACAGCUUGCUCUACUGUUUCAAUCUCACCUGGUACCGGUUUAGGAAUCUUGGCUUGUCCUUGAAUUGGGCCAUCCACUGAGACGCGAACACAUCCAGGCUCUAUCGGCACUCCAUGUAUAGAUUUGUUCAUGUUAUCAUCAUCAAACAACAAACCAAAUGCCACUUUAUUUUCUAUUGUGCCUACAGCCAACUCACAUUUUCGUGGACCGGCCUACACACAUAUAUUUAAACAAUUAUGACGAAUGCUUGAAAUAUGUUGAGCUAAAUUGAAUAAAUGUGCUAGUUAUUUUACCUUAUUCUCUGGUGGAUUAGGUUCCAAGUCAACUUCAAUCAUCUCUGGUUCCAGUUUUUUCACCACCUCUGUCUUAGCUUCUUUGACAGUGUUUGCCUCACAACUUGCUUUAUCAGAAGCAAUAGGAGAUGAAAUAUUUGCUUUGCUGAGCAAGGCCUUCAUUUCAGCCAUCUCCUGCCUUGUCUUCUCCAUUUCCAUGGCCAUCUCUUUCUUGGCUUUCUCCAGCUCCGCGUCCCUCUCUCGAUCCCUCUCCAACAACUCAGCUUUGGUGAUUCUAUUUCUUCUUCCUGGUGGUAUAUUAAAAAAAAUUGACGGGCUCACAAAGCCUCCAACUCCUCGAACCCUCCCCGAAUGUUCAGGAGUUUGUAGGGCCGUAGUCAACACAUCUCGACUCCCAGAAGGAGUGAAUUCCCCCUUACUUUGCUGCUCUAGUAAAAUAUUCUGACAUGAAAAAUAUGAACAUACAAAUCAUCAUCUAGUGAACCUCAUCAUCAAUAUUAACUUUAAUUUUACGAGCCUUUUAAUUAUAAAUACUCACAAUUCUUUUUCCUAUUUCAGCUAGGUCUGAAUCCUCAUCAUCAGCAUCAUCAGCCUCAUCAUCAUCAUCAACAUUAUCAUUAUCAUCAUCAAUUUUAAUUUUACGAGCCUUUUGCCACAUGAGAGCCCGAUCAGGUUCUUCAUCGGCAGCCAAAGUUCCUUUCUUGAUCUGAUUAAAAUCAAAAAAAAAUUAAAAAGGCCAAGAUAUGUAAAAUACAAUUAUUUAGGUUCAAUGCUUAAAAUACAACUAUUUUUAUACCUCUUCUUCCAAUAAUCCAAUGUAACCCUUUCUUGAUGUCCGGUGAGGAUAUUUUCGAUUACUCACCCUCAGCUUUUGUUUUUCACUAAAAGACUUCAAAUAUUUUAAAUAAUAUUAGAAUACUAUUUUUCAGAAUAUAAAAAGACAUUUAUAUCACAAUAAAGCAGAACAUAAAAUAUAUUUCAUACCAGAAAUUUCGAGGUAGUCCUCUCAGCAACAAAAUUUUUCCAAGCCUCCUUUCCAACAAAAGCAUACUUCUUUGGAGGCUUUCGUAAUUUCUUCUUCUGCCCAAGAUACGGCCUCACAUAAUCUCUUGUUAAAUUUGCUUUAAAAUUCCUCCACUUUGCUCCUGCAGACCUGAUCAACCCCUUCUCAAGUUGCUUAGGAACUUUAAAUGUCUCCUGCAACCAAUGUUAAUUGACAAAAUUUACAAAAUUAUACUCUAAAUGAGUAGAAGAAAAUGCAAAAUUUACAAAAUGCAUAGGAGAUUACUUAUUUUUAUACCUUCACAUCAAUCCAUAUUUUCUCCUUUAGUUCAUCAGGUACCUUUGACCAGUUAGGAUAAUCAAUCGGAAUCAUUGUCCUAGCCAACAUUCCAGUGUAGGAUUGUAGACUGUGCCUUGCAUCCCCUGUAGGAACUCCAUGUGCAUUACAUGAAACCUUUGUUUUCUUGCCCUGCGCCUUCCUCACCACCACUUUAUACAUAGCAGAAACCCCUCGGGCACCCCCACGCUUUUUCUUUGCUGUUUCAGAUGUUGUAACUGUUGCAUCCGUUUCCUCCACAGAAUUCACAUUUUCUCCCUGAGGUUCUGUUGUCAGCUCCAACCUUUUAUCUGAUGCCUCAUCCGACUUUUUGGAGUCUUCAUGGAAUUGUACUUUGGUUUUUUGCUUUUUAUUUGCCAUUUAUCUUCUUCAAUCUGAAAAUGAAACAUAUAUAAUCCAUUAGUCACAGGCAUAUAUACGAGCAAUUACAGGAUAAGCAGUUAUAAAGUUACAUAAGCCUACAUAAGCCGUUACAAAAUUGUAAAAAUGCAUAACUAAACAUUUACACAGAGUGAAAAUUACAGGAGUCUAAUUACACAGAGUAAAUUACAAAGUUGCAUCACAUAUAUUACAUGACUUGAAAUAAUGUUAUCACAGAGUAAAUUACAAAGUCUCAUCACAAAAUUAACUAUUACAUGACUUGAAAUAAUGUUAUCACUUCUUAACCCAAGUGCCCUUAAUAUUUUCUCUAAUACUUUUCUCAACAUCAUCACCGACAUCACAUGUAGGAAUUUGGCAGCAGAAUGGAGGAUUUUCCAUGGUUGUGUCUCCUAAAUCAUCAUCGUUAUACACCUCUUGGUAGUCUCGAGUUGUAGAGGUUAAUACGACGGACCACUUGGCAUCCACCGGAUCUUCAAUAUAAUAAACUUGCUUUACUUGAUCUAUAGACACGUAUUUAUCUCUCUUGUGGCCUUGUCGACUUAGAUCGACAAGUGUGAACCCAAGAUCAUCCACCUUAAUUCCCUUGUCAUUGUCCGCCCAAUUACAUAAAAACAGUGGGGCUUUGAAUGCAUGAUAAUCCAGCUCCCAUAUAUCUAGGAUAACACCAUAAAAUGUCAAGUCACUUUCUACGGGGUUUAAAUCUUUAGCGCUAGACACUUGGACAGUUUUAGCAACUAAAGACACUCCGCUGUUUUGAACUACCCUCACAUUGUCUCGCUGUUUUGUAAAGUAUCGGACCCCGUCUACUAGAUAAGCUUCGUAAGUCAUAACUGAAAAUGAUGGUUUUCCAGCUAUCCAUCUUACUGUCUCUGAAACUCCUCCAGGAUUCUCCACCAUUUCACUACUGACCUACACAUUUCAUAAACAGAAAUUAUCCUAAAUUACUAUAGAGAAAAUAAAUUAGGCACAAAUGAAACUAUAAAAAUACUAACUUUUUCUAGAAACCAAUCAGCAAAACUGUUAUUGUGCUCUCUCAAGAGCCAAUGAACGCUUUUCUUUUUCCCACGAUGGAUUUCCUCUAGAUACUCCUUAUGCAUUCUGCCAAAAAUUAUAUAUUCAUUAAAGAAGUAGUUUAUACAGAAUGUAUAUAUUAAUUGAACAGCCACAAAAUUAAAAAAAUCUUACAAGAUAUAUGGCUGUACUUCAAGGUUGUUUAGAAGAACGUGUAAAUGAGCUUCAUCCCUCUCUUUUUCUUCGAUUGAUUUCAUUACCGCAACAGAUAAUGGACCACUUAACUUGCCUUCAUCUUUGCGAAGACCAGCAGUGGUGCAAGUUUGCUUGACAAACUCUUGGCAGAAUUCAAUCGAUUCUUCUCCAAGAUAACAUUCUGCUAUACAACCUUCGGGGUAGUAACGAUUGCGUACGUAACUCUUCAACACCUUAUUAAACCUCUCAAAUGCAUACAUCCAUCUAUAGAAGACUGGCCCACAUAACCGUAAUUCCCGAACCAAGUGCACUAUGAGAUGUAUCAUUACAUCAAAAAAUGAUGCAGGAAAAAUUUUUUCUAGCUCGCACAAAGUUACUAUUACAUCUGAUUGCAAUUUAUCUAGUUUAGAUACGUCGACAACUUUGCUGCAUAAAGCAUUAAAGAAGAAACACAAUCUAAUUAUUGUGACCCUGACUUUUUUUGGAAGUACCGCGCGAAUUGCAAUAGGAAGUAAUUGUUGAAGUAGGAUGUGGCAAUCGUGGGACUUCAACCCAAACAUUUUUAAUUCUUCCAUGGAAACACAGUUUUUAAUGUUUGACGCGUGUCCAUAAGGAAGUUUCAUGUGCAUUAACGAUGACAACAUCUUCUUCUUUUCUGCCUUGGACAAAUUAAAAAUCGAAGGAGGUAAAUAGGUCUUUCUUUCUCCUUUUUGUGGAGCUAGAUCAGCCCUAACCCCCAUGUCAAUCAUGUCAAGACGAGAAGCUUCACUAUCUUUAGACUUAUGUUUCAUAUUCAGUAGUGUGCCAAUCAAGCUAUCACACACGUUUUUCUCCACGUGCAUAACAUCUAGACAAUGACGGACAUGGUGAAAUUUCCAAUACUCUAACUCGAAGAAAAUUGACUUUUUCUUCCAUGGACAGUCAACCUUCUUUGACUUCCUUACUUCUUUCCCAAACUGAAAUUCAAUUUUUUCUUGCUGCAAUAAAACCUCUUCUCCCGAAAGAGGUUGACGUGCCUGCCCUAAUUCUUGUUGUCCAUUAAAAGCAGCUUUUUGCUUCCUAUAUGGAUGAUUUCUAGCCAAGUAACGUCGAUGACCUUGGUAACACAUCUUCCUACUAUGGCUUAAAUACUUUGCAACAGUAUCAUCACCACAUAUUGGACAAGACAUAUAACCUUUAUUAACACAUCCGGACAGAUUUCCAUAUGCGGGAAAGUCGUUUAUUGUCCACAAUAAAAUUGCUUUUAAAGUGAAAUACGACUUAGUGUGUGCAUCAUAGACAUUUGGUUCACCUUCCUCCCACAACUUCUUUAAAUCAUCGAUUAGAGGCUGUAAAUAUACAUCAAGGUCAUUACCAGGCUCAUGAGGACCGGGAACUAAAACUGUUAGCAUCAUAAACUUCCUCUUCAUGCAUAACCACGGAGGAAGAUUAUAAGUCACUAGUACUACUGGCCAACAAGUGUAUCUAUUGGUUAGACCGUUAUUAUGCGGGUUUAUACCAUCUGCAGACAACGCCAAGCGAAUAUUUCUUGCCUCACUACCGAAGGCAGGCCACCUAUAGUCGAUAUUUCUCCAAGAAGGAGAGUCGGCUGGAUGCCGCAUCUUUCCAUCUUCUAUUCGCUGCUUUGCGUGCCAGGUAAUCAGUUCAGAUGUAGAAGGAGAUUUAAACAUUCGCUUCAAUCUCGGAAUAAUUGGAAAAUACCACAUUAUUUUAGCAGGAACAUUAAUCCUUACUUUACCAUCCUUUCCUAACUUCCAGCGAGAUAGACUACACUUAGGACACUUAGAAGCAUCAACAUAUACCCCCCGAUAUAGUAUGCAAUCGUUUGGACAUGAGUGGUACUUUAUGUAUUCUAGGCCUAAGUUGGAUAAUGUUUUCUUGGCUUCAUAUGCAUUAGGUGGCAUCACAUUUUCCUUAGGAAGGAGAGAGCCAACAGUAGACAAUAAAUCUGUAAAGGCGCUAUCACUAAUUCCAAACCUUGCUUUCCAAUUAUGCAGUUUUAGCAUCGACUCCAAUUUGGUACAUUCACUACCCUCAUACAAAGGCUGUUGAGCAUCAGCCACAAAUCUCCUAAACUGAUACGACUCAUUAUUGUACUCACUCGAAUUAUACGCAGCAUCACAAACAUUGACUGUUUGUGAUGCAUGACCAGGGGAAUGCAUCGAUGCAGGGUCAAGCGUAGGUGCAGGGCUAGGGGCAUUGUCAUGAACUGUUGAUCCAGUGAUUCCACACCCUUGUGUGUGCCAAAUCCAAUCAAGGUAUCCCAAACUAAAACCGUAUUCAUAUAAAUGUCCCCUAAUAAUCUUAACUGCAAAUUUUUUAAAGUUAACACAUCUUUUGCAGGGGCAUGGGAUUUUUUUAGUAUCACUAGCAUUUUCCUCGGCAAAUAUUAAAAACUCUUCAACCCCGAUUUCAUAGUCAAGUGUAUCCCUAUCUUUGAAAAUCCAAGACUUGUCCAUGUUAUUCUCAAACUACCUGAUUGUCAAAUAUGAUAUCAAAUUACAUGGUAACAAAGAUCCAAACACAAUAUACAAUUACAUUUACAAACUAAACAAACACAAAUAUAUUUACACAGCUGUGCAUAAAACAUAAAAAACAAAUCCCAAGCUCUAAACAUAUAUAACACAGUACAUAAAAAAGAAACCCCAAGCUCCAAACAUAUAUAAAACAUAUAUACAACUACACGUUUAAUUUUCACAUGCAUACAUAUAACUACAAAAAGUUAUACUUGCAACCGAAACAUUUAUAUAAAUAUAAAGAAGAAUAUAGAAGAAUAUAUAUACCUAAAACCCAGCAGCUUCGAAACCCAGCACCUCCAAAAUCCAGCAGCUAUCCAGCAGCUUCGAAAACCCAGCAACUACCCUAAUCUCCAAGCUUCAAAUCUCCAAGCUUCAAAGAACCCUAAUCUCCAAGCUCCACUCGACCCUAAGCUUGAAGAUCGAACCUUAAGCUUGAACACAGCAGCUUCGAAUCGCGCACAAAUCGCACCUAGGGUUUAGAAGAGAGGGAAUCAGUUAAUAGAACAUUUGAAAGGGGGUUUAGAAGAGAGGGAAUCAGUUAUUAAACCAAGAACGAGGAUUGAAGGACUGAAGGAUUGAAGAAAAUCGCAUACCUAGGUUUAGCUGUCGAGAGAAAGGGGGAAGAGCUGCUGUCUGAAAGAAAUAUGUAUAUAUGUCCCGAUUGUUUUCUUUUGAAUGCUUUUGUUUUAAUUUUGAUUUAUUUUUAAUGUUUUUUUAUUGUUUUAUACUGAGGCGGGAGUGAAUGAUAUGUUAAAGGGGGGGAAAACAGUAGGGGGAACUAAUUAAAAAAUUGACUAAGGGCGGGGGAGCGGAGGGCGCGGGCUUUAAUAUUUUUAAAAUUGAGAUUAGACAUCGCUUAAUAAACAAUGUGAUGUGAAAAAAUUUUAAAGUGAGAGCUUAGACAUCACUUAUGUUAAGGACUGAUGUAAAGAUACCAGAAAGACAUCACAUAUAAAACGAGCGAUGUAAAAAAGGCAUUUUACAUCGGUGACACUUCCGACUGAUGUCUAAUGUGCGAUGUCUAUUGACGAAUUUCUAGUAGUCUCCAAAGGAUAUUUAUCUUUCCAUCAUGAUGCAGCAGUCUCCUUAACUGUGAAGGGAACGGAGUAUGAGGUAGCAAAGAACCUUCAUAUUUACACAGCCAUUGAUCUGUCGGGCACCUAAUUUCAGGGUCGAAUUCCAAACGUCACUGGAGAGCUUAGAUGGCUUGCAUUGCUCAAUUUAUCGCAUAAUAGUUUAACAGGACCUAUCCCAUCAUUGCUGAGAAAUAUGAAAGAACUCCAAUCUUUAGAUUUGUCCUCAAAUCGACUGACAGGGGCUAUUCCACCUCAGCUAACUGCAUUGACAUUUCUAGAGGUCUUGAACCUCUCGAAAAACCAUCUUAGUGGAGAGAUUCCUCAGAAAGGACAGUUCAGCACAUUCAACAAUGAUUCUUAUCUAGGAAACUCCGCGUUAUGUGGAUCACCUUUGACGAAGAAAUGUGCAAACACAGCAUCACCUCCACAAGAAGUCGGAAAUGGUGAUGAAGAUGAUGCUGGAGAUGAAUUGACAUGGGAAGCAAUCGUGAUGGGAUAUGGAUGUGGACUGAUAUGUGGAUUGUCAUCUGCGUACAUUGUUCUCAAACUAGGAAAGCCUUGGUGGUUUGUGAGAUAUAUCGAAGUACUGCAACUGAAGUUGAUGAAAAGAUAUGCAUGAAGAAUGGUACUGCACUACAACAAAAACAGCAUCACACAACGGUUUUUGCCCGUUGUCUGAUACCCAAGAAAACCGUGGUCUAUUGCGAUGCCGUCUGAUACGCGCCUCAGACAACGUUUUAUUAGUUAAAGGCUUGUCUAUAAGGCCAUGCUACGAUGGUAACAAAAACACUUGUAUGUUAGCUUCCUGGUCACACAACACUGUAUGGAACCCUUGUUUAAACGGCUCGUAAACAACACAACAAAUAAAACACUUGUCUAAUUACAACAACGGUUUCUUGAAAUAUUGUCUGAAGUUUCUUCACACAUCGGCUCUAAAAACAGUUGUCUAACGUGCAUCAUUACACAAUAUCACAGUUAAGAUACCGUUGUCUGAUUGAAUUUACUAGACAACACUUUUUAAACCGUUGUAGGUUGUAGGUGUUGGACAAUAGUUUUUCGAGGACGAAAAUAAAGUGUUGUGUCUUUGUUUCGGCCAACACUUUUUCCAGCGUCCGUUGUCUGACUAGUGUCGUGUGAUGCCAGUUUUGUUGUAGUGCUGGUUGAUCCAGACGAACUAGAAAGUUGUUGUCCUGGUAGACAUUUCUGAACCAUUUGUGUCCUGGCUGAAUAAGUAUUUGGUAUUAUGUAAUAAUCCGUUUGGUUGGGACUCAAAAUGAUUUCUCUUGCUUCAGGGGUAUUAAUAUUAACCUUCCUAUCUUGAUCAAUGUUAAAUCAAAUUAAAUGAAUGAAAAAACAAAAAGUAUGCAUCAAAUCCGCUCCUGCUGUACCUAACAAUUUAACAGCACCCUUCCACACUGUUCAUACCUAAUUUGCGUGUAAUAUGAAAACUAAGAGGCAUGGCUUUUGUCUUUGAGAGAACUUAUUCCAAGUCUUCUUCGGAGGCCUACUGCCUCAACAACCUUUCAAAGACUAUGCAAUAAUCCACGUGACAGAAAAACCAAAGUCCAAUUAGUAUUAUAAGUUCAUAAAAAAUACUAUAGGAUCAUUAGCAUUAGCAUUACAUUAGCAUACAGCAUAUAUAUAAAUAGAAGAAUGCAGUGUGGUAUUGGAUUCAUAAUCCAAUUGAGCAGAAACAUGGCACACUUUGUAAAGCCUUAUGACCUUCUUCUCUGUGUUUUCUUUCUCUCAUCACUUGAAUCCAUUCUUGCAACAAGACGAGAAGGAGAAGCUCUUGUGAAAUGGAAGAACAGCCUAGCCCCGUCUUCUUCUCUUGAUUCUUGGUCACUCACUCAUCUCGAUAAUCUUUGUAACUGGACUGGCAUUACUUGUAACUCUGCAGGUUCAGUCUCUGACAUUAACCUUUUCAACAAACAACUCACUGGAAAGCUUUUCGAGUUUGGUUUCACUUCAUUUCCGAAUCUCAACAAUCUCACCCUCGCAGAUAACUUCUUCUCUGGUCCAAUACCAUCAGCCAUUGGGAAUUUAACACAGCUUCAAUAUCUUGAUUUGAGCAAUAAUUAUCUCAAUGGUUCCAUUCCGUACCAGGUUAGCCAUCUUUCAAAAUUACACGUCUUAAACCUGUCAGAGAAUGAACUGCAAGCUCCAAAUUGGUCCAAUUUCUCCCCCAUGCCUUAUUUGACCAUCCUCGACCUUUAUCAGAAUAAUCUUAUGUUGGAAUUUCCAGAAUUUAUAUCUAACUCGCGUAACCUGACAUACCUUGACCUUUCAUAUAACAAGUUCACAGGCGAUCUUGUGCGCGAAUCAGUAUUAGCCAAUCCAGGUGAUCUCGAAACCCUCUAUCUUAAUGAAAAUUCUUUUGGGGGGCCAUUUCCACCAGACAUAUUCAAACUUUCCAAGUUGAGAGUUCUUGCCCUGUUCAAUAAUCUUUUUGAGGGGCCGCUUCCGUCAAAUAUAUUCAAGCUCUCUAAACUAAGAUUCCUUUUACUUUGGAGUAAUAAUUUUUCAGGUACUCUUUCGAAUGAAAUAGGUUUGCUUUCUGAGCUUGAAGACCUAGAUCUUCACUCCAAUUUUUUUGUGGGGCCGCUUCCGCCAAAUAUAUUCAAGCUCUCUAAACUAAGAACCCUUUUCCUCUUGGGUAAUAACUUCUCAGGUUCUAUUUCCAACGACAUAGGUUUGCUUUCUGAGCUUGAACACCUAUAUCUCGACUCCAAUUCUUUUGAGGGACCUUUUCCAACAAAUAUUUUCAAGCUUUCCAAAUUAAUACAACUUGGUCUCGCAAACAAUACAAAUUUAUUUGAAGGAAGUAUUCCUCCAGGACUGGGGCUCUUGACUAACCUAGAGGACUUGUCUCUUGCUUACAAUAAUCUUGGUGGCUAUAUUCCGUCUUCCUUUGGAAACCUAACACUACUAGUAUAUCUUAAUCUCGCUCGUAAUCAAUUGGUUGGAACACUAUCAAAGACCAUUUCUAAUCUCACAAAUCUAUGGUUUCUUGAUGUACAUCAUAAUAGUCUCUCUGGGAAUAUUCAGAGUGACUUCUGGAAAAACUCUACAUCACUGCGUUACAUUAAUUUGGCAGACAAUAAUUUUUCUGGGAACAUUCCUAAGGAAUAUAAUGUUCUUCCAAUCCUGGAUCACAUCAAUUUUAGGGGGAACAAUUUUACAGGUAUUUUUCUUUCCAUAUUUUUUCCUUCUGUUGUAUUCAAUUAUGCUAGAAACUACAGCCUCUGUUUUUUCAAAUACAUAUCGUUUAACUUUUUGGCACAAAACUUUAUAAUAAUUCUAACUAAAAGGUCAAUGAACUCAAAAAUGUGUGUCAAAAAGUCAAACGUCAUUUAUCUGAAAUCAGAGGGAGUAUAUAUUACUGUUUUACCAAAGUUUCAACAAUCAUGACAGGUGAGCUUCCACCAACAAUUUGCGAUGCCACUUCCCUUUCGAUUCUUGAUCUGUCAAAUAAUGGAUUUAGUGGUGCAGUUCCACAUUGUUUGGGGAAUCUUGCGGAUAAAUUGAUUUCGAUUAAUCUUGCUAAUAAUCAGUUUCAAGGACCAAUACCAACAAAUUUCUCCGAGAGUUGUCGUCUGACGUAUCUUAACAUCUAUAACAAUCACUUCAAAGGUUUGGUUCCCCAAUCUUUGGCAAACUGUAAGCACUUGCAAAUUCUUGAUUUUGGAAAAAAUGAAAUAGGUGGAACACUUCCGUCAUGGUUUUUUACUCUUGGAGAGCUAGAAGUCCUGAUCCUGCGAUCAAACAGAUUUUUCGGGAGAAUAACUAGAAGGAGCAUACCACGCCCCUUUCCCAAGUUGCGGAUUUUGGAUCUAUCCAACAAUCAGUUCACCGGCUAUCUGCCAAUUUUAUACUUCAAGAAUAUGAAACCAAAUGAUAAUAAUUAUGAUUAUUUCAACAACACAAACGAAGCCUAUUACGUUUAUCAAGUUUCUAUCACAUUAAAUGUGAAAGGAAGCGAGCAUGAAGUGACAAAUAUUCUUCAUAUUUACACGGCCAUUGAUCUGUCGUGCAACAAAUUUGAAGGAAAAGUUCCAGACAUUACCGGAGAGCUUAGAUGGCUUGCAUUGCUAAAUUUAUCUCAUAAUAGUCUUUCGGGGCCUAUUCCAUCACAACUGGGAAAAAUGAAAGAGCUCCAGUCUCUAGAUUUGUCGUCAAAUCAAUUGACAGGUGUUAUUCCGGAUCAACUUACUAGUAUGACAUUUCUUGCUAGUUUGAACCUCUCAGAAAACCAUCUUUCUGGGAAAAUCCCUCGGAAAGGACAGUUCAGCACUUUUGGCGAAGAAUCUUACUUAGGUAAAUCGGCCUUGUGUGGAGUUCCUUUGACAAAGAACUGUAUAGACGAUGUGCCACCUUCACAAGUUGGAAAUGGCAAUGAUGAAAAUGUUGAUGAAGAUGAUACCGUUGAUGAAUUCAAUUGGAAAGUGAUCCUGAUGGGAUAUGCAUGUGGAUUAAUAGGCGGAUUGUCUGCAGGAUACAUUGUCUUCACAGUCGGAAAGCCUUGGUGGUUUUUGAGAUACAUUGAGACACUGCAGCAGAAGUUGAUCUGAUGCGCAACUAGAAACAACGUUAUAAUCUUAGAAUGACUUGUGUCUUUAAACAGAGUUAGGAACUUAGGAUGACUUGUGGUGCUAUAUUUUUUUUUUGAAAAAAAAAAACAUAUUUUUGUAAUUUUUUAGAUACAGAUGUUAAGAAGGUGUUGUAUAUUCAUUUUUUACCCAAAAAAAAAAAGAGGGCUUAUUUCAUGAAAAUUAGAGUUUUAUGUAUUUUCUCCAGAAAUUAGUCCUUAUUUCUGAAAAUAAGGUUAGUCAAAACGGUCACUACACGAUUGGUAGCCUUUCAGUUCUUCCUAGUGUCCACUACAGUUUCAUUCCUUACCAGUUAUUUUAUGCUCUGCACUGCAUUAUGCAGCUUUCAUAUUACUGACAGCUAAUCUCCUUCCAACACUUUGCGAUGCGAAGCAGGGACGCAUAAGUAUUUUUAUAUGUGUAUUAGUUUUGAAGAUUAAAGUUGCAUGGACAAUUGUGUUGAUAAUUUGAGCAAUGUUAACCGGGAUAGGUCUUCUUCUCUCUCCCAAGUCUUCUGAGGACUCAUCGGCUCAGAUUAGUCUAUCCAAAAAUUAUGAUCUGACGGCUAUUGGCACACUAACGAUUUACAUAUCACUUGAAUAUUACUGGAUACCCGCAUCUUGUUUUAAAUGGCGUAUAUCGGCUAAUAGUUCAACGAUGGUGACAAAUCCCGGUGAUCCAAAUAAUUGAUUGUCGCAAAAUUUUCCGCUUACAUCCAACUAACACGUAUUAGGAAAAAAAAUUAUAUAAUUAAACACGCUCAUGUAUCUAUAUCUUUUACAAGAUUGUAAGUCCCCAAUUCUAUGUGAUAUUAGCUAUAUGUGACUAGAAGGUUUAGAAAUACUAGAUUAUCAAGAUUUCUUUUUAUUCUAGCUAGUGUUGAGUUAUAUUUAUUUUCUUCAAACAAUCAAUACUUAUUUUUUAUUAAUAUGUGAAACUCCAAUAUAUAUUAUUAUACGAUAUAUUAUGAAAACACUAUAUUUUGUAAUGUUCAUCUUAUCCUACCAGCAAAAUUACAUCGCUAACAAAAUUAUAUCAAUUUUAUUUUAUAAACUCAAAUAAUUUAAUUUAUGAAACAACUCUAUGAGAUUCUUAUCAUGAGUUAGAAUUCAAAUAAAUAAAGAGUUCAUAUUGAUAAGUGGAAUUGAUGUGCAAGUAAGGGGUAUAAAAAAAUCUCAAAAUAACUCCAAAAAGCACAUGACAUGUUUGAUUUAAUAGAACUGGUACAUAAACAGGGGGACCAUUAUAUUUAUAAGCAAGUGACCAACAAUAGUUUACUACUGAUAUUUUGUGAUAUUUUUUGUGAUAUUUUUUGAGACCUUUAACAUUAUUCUGUGAAGUGGUAUACUACUGUUACUAGUUCUGAAACUUCAAACAAAGUAGGCGCAACAUUGUAAGAGUGAUUAAUAAAGUUGAGAAACAGUGUGUACAUUGAGCAGUAUGACAAUCAGGUUCAGCAUAUAAUACAAUCAGAUUCACAAUCAGGUUCACGAGAAACAUGCUGCAUUCCAAAAAGCCUUAUUAUCUUCUUCACUAAAUAACAAGGCAAAUACAGCAUAUAAAUACAAGUUAUAAGUACAAGUGUGGUAUUAGAUUCAUAACCCAGUUGAGGAGAAACAUGGCACACUUUGUAAGGCCUUCUCACCUUCUUCUCUUUGUUUUCUUUCUCUCAUCACUAGAAUCCAUUCUUGCAACAAGACGAGAGGGGGAAGCUCUUGUGAAGUGGAAGAAUAGCCUAGCCCCUUCUUCUUUUCUCCACUCUUGGUCACUCUCCAAUCUCGAAAAUCUUUGCAACUGGACUGGCAUUACUUGUAACUCUGCAGGUUCAGUCUCUGAGAUUGACCUUUGUGAGAAACAACUUGAUGGAAUGCUGUCCGAGUUUGGUCUCACUUCAUUUCCAAAUCUCAACAAUCUCACCCUCGCAGACAACUUCUUCUCAGGUCCAAUACCACCAGCCAUUGAGAAUUUAACACAGCUUCAAUAUCUUGAUUUAAGCAUGAAAAGUCUUAAUGGUCCCAUUCCGUUCCAGGUUAGCCAUCGUCAGAGCUUGCUCAUCUUAGACCUGUCACAGAAUGCAUUGCAAGCUUCAAAUUGGUCCAAUUUCUCUCCCAUGCCUCAGUUGCGCUUCCUCAAGCUCAGUAGCAAUCAUCUUGUGUCGAAAUUCCCAAAUUUUAUAUCCAGUUCUCAUAGCCUGACUUACCUCAACCUCUCAUAUAACAUUGGAAACCUCAAAAAAUAUAUAUUUAUAUAUUUAUAAUUAAAAAAUUGAAUUACUUAAUAUAUUAAAAAAUUGAAUAAAAUUUUAUAUAUUUUAUUAAAAAAUUGAAUAAAAAUUGAAUAAAAUUGAAUAAAAUUGAAGUACACGAAAAGGUACACGACACGAAAUACACGACUGAGAAGUCGUGUCGGUUUUGUGUUUACCCUUCGGGUACACGACACGAGGUACACGAAAUAAAUAAAUAAAUAUAUAUAUAUAUAUUUACCCUUCGGAUUAAGAGUUGGUCGC